rnacentral:rRNA from 1 species
CCUACGGGAGGCAGCAGUGAGGAAUCUUGGUCAAUGGACGAGAGUCUGAACCAGCCAAGUAGCGUGAAGGAUGACUGCCCUAUGGGUUGUAAACUUCUUUUAUAUAGGAGUAAAAUGAGACACGUGUGCCUUUAUGGAUGUACUUUAUGAAUACGGCUCGGCUAACUCCGUGCCAGCAGCCGCGGUAAUACGGAGGCUCCGAGCGUUCUCCGGAUUUAUUGGGUUUAAAGGGAGCGUAGAUGGGUUGUUAAGUCAGUUGUGAAAGUUUGCGGCUCAAACGUAAAAUUGCAAUUGAUACUGGCAGUCUUGAGUACAGUAGAGGUAGGCGGAAUGCGUGGUGUAGCAGUGAAAUGCUUAGAUAUCACGAAGAACGCCGAUUGCGAAGGCAGCUUACUAAACUGCCACUGACAUUGAGGCUCGAAAGUGUGGGUAUCAAACAGGAUUAGAUACCCUAGUAGUC